AGCGGCGCACACGGGAGCCCGGGCGCGGGCUGAGAAGGCGGACGACCACCGCCGACCGUCCACACCUGAUCCGGUUCAUGCCGGCGGAGGGAGCUGCUCGAUGCUCGCAG
rnacentral:ncRNA from 2 species